AUUUGGGGCAUGUUGUUCAAAUGUUUAAGUGGAUAGAUGAGGUUUAUAAUAUCUAGACUAGUACAUAUCAAUGCCACAACAACCAUAUCCAAAAACAAAGCAAGAUUUGCUCUGUAACAAUGGCAGCCAAAGUAGGGAUGAUGAACACAUAAGGCAUACAGUUUCUGUAACAGUGGCAGCCAAAGUAGCUAUCUGCUCUUCUCUCAUCAGUGCCAAAAAACAAGAUUUCAUCAGUCCAUGCAAAAUUAGGUGGGGGAGAGUGAGAAGCAGGGAGGGAAGAAUAAAUUCAUGACUAGAGAAAAAGAACCAGAACAGUAAGACUUUCUAACAUUCUUGUUUUCUUGAUUAAAGCUAGCUCCAAGACCUCAGGGUUUGUCUGAUGGAUCAGUUUGAGUCUCAGUGUUACAUGAUGAAACUUUUCCUUCUCCUAUAUUCCCCUUCAAUCGAAACAUGAGAAUUUCCGAGGAUAAGACUGAGGGCAUUGGUUCUUUAUGGGACAGAGUUUGCUAUUUGUCAUCUUUUUGAGCCUAGUGUCUUCCCCUUUUCGAGGGAUUCCUUUUUUGCUUGAUCUCUAGAGAUUGAAGGGUAAUAUGUGAUUGUGUUAGACUGAGGUGUCGUUUCUUUUGUUAAUUCUCUUCUUGUUGUUGCCAAUCAAAAAACAAAAACAAAGAUUAACACCA